AUUGAACGCUGGCGGCGUGCCUAACACAUGCAAGUCGAGCGGCAGCGCGGGAGCAAUCCUGGCGGCGAGCGGCGGACGGGUGAGUAACGCUUGGGAAUCUGCCUGUUAGUGGGGGACAACCCGGGGAAACUCGGGCUAAUACCGCAUACGCACUACGGUGGAAAGCCGGGGACCGCAAGGCCUGGCGCUAACAGAUGAGCCCAAGUCGGAUUAGCUAGUUGGUAGGGUAACGGCCACCAAGGCGACGAUCCGUAACUGGUCUGAGAGGACGACCAGUCACACCGGAACUGAGACACGGUCCGGACUCCUACGGGAGGCAGCAGUGGGGAAUAUUGGACAAUGGGGGAAACCCUGAUCCAGCGACGCCGCGUGGGUGAAGAAGGCCUGCGGGUUGUAAAGCCCUUUCAGUGGGGAAGAAAAGCCUCGACCUAACACGUCGGGGUCUUGACGUAACCCAUAGAAGAAGCACCGGCUAACUCUGUGCCAGCCGCCG
rnacentral:rRNA from 1 species